rnacentral:rRNA from 1 species
UACAGAGGUCUCAAGCGUUUGUUCGGAUUCAUUGGGCGUAAAGGGUGCGUAGGUGGCGCGGUAAGUCGGGGUGUGAAAUUUCGGAGCUUAACUCCGAAACUGCAUUCGAUACUGCCGUGCUUGAGGACUGGAGAGGAGACUGGAAUUUACGGUGUAGCAGUGAAAUGCGUAGAUAUCGUAAGGAAGACCAGUGGCGAAGGCGGGUCUCUGGACAGUUCCUGACACUGAGGCACGAAGGCCCAGGGGGAGCAAAACGGG